GACGACAUAGCGACUAUUGCCCAGACUUUUUGCGAUAAGGUAAGGCCCCUUAUAAUUUGGUUUGAGCUUUGAGCUCGUACCUAUUUUGGGGGCUGUGUCCCUUAUCAAAACGUACUCCCCUGGUUUAUAUCGCGUUGGCUUGAUACUGUGAGUAUCCUUGUAUUCUUUAUUGUACGCUCUUACAAGAUCUGUUGCUCGUGAAGCAUUGUCUCUAUUAAUAUCUCUCUCUUUUUCUAGGUCCUCAUCGACGGUGACAAGGGCCUUCGUGAAAUUGGCUAGAGAGUGAUCCGAAUGGCUGCGUUGGUCAAAACCUAACAUUAGUUUUGCUGGACUUGAUUUAGUCACCGCGUGUUUCCUGCAUUGGACCGAAGUGGUCUACAUGCAACGUAUUUAACGGAACCUUGGGCAAAGGAUGCAGUUGAGUUUCCCUUUCGAACCUGUUAAGCGCGUUAUUGGCUGUAAGACAGGAUAUUCGAAUCCGCAAGCUGAAGGAACUCAAGGCGUCUCUCCAGCGGAAGUUCGUCUAUGUGCGCGACGCUUCGACUAAGCGCGUCAACAUGUGCCAUGCGACUACCUGGACGAUGUAUGAUGUCGAACGAGUAAUUUUGCAGCGCGAGAGUCCAUCGCGCUAUUCGCGGAUUUAGCUCGUAGCUGUGAUACCUGCUCUCCGCUGCGUUCGUGCCUUGACUAAAAUACGCAACCGGACCCCAGGAAUUAUCGCGUCGCUGGAGAAGGAUCGCUCCGAACCCUAAGCAACAUGCGUCUGUGUGUAACUGGGUUUCGGCCGCCGGAUCGUACAGUCUCAGCAACGGAGUGGAGGUCAGUUCUUUUUUCAAAAUUUCGAAUGCUUG